UACAGAGGGUGCAAGCGUUGUUCGGAAUUACUGGGCGUAAAGGGCGCGUAGGCGGCCCGCUAAGUCGAACGUGAAAUCCCCGGGCUCAACCCGGGAACUGCGUCCGAUACUGGAAGGCUUGAAUCCGGGAGAGGGAUGCGGAAUUCCAGGUGUAGCGGUGAAAUGCGUAGAUAUCUGGAGGAACACCGGUGGCGAAGGCGGCUCUCUGGGACGGUACUGACGCUGAGACGCGAAAGCGUGGGGAGCAACAGA
rnacentral:rRNA from 1 species